AGACAACUGUGUUGAGACCAACACUAUUGGAGGGAGGGAGCAAAGAGGGAGCAUAGGUGACUAAUAAAUUUGAUACCUCUACAUUUUGUAUUAUAAUGGGGUGAUCACCAUUGAAAUACAAAACUCUACCUGGGGCAAAUUAGGCUUGCAAGUUCACUGUCAUCGUCUCAACAACAACAAGCUGACAAGCCCAAAUUGUGAGACAUUGUACUAUGACAUGUUGAAGUACCGGAUGCUUAUGUCUUCCCCCUGAAACUGUCACACCUCACAUCGAGUUAUUCGAUGCGAAACCUUACACUAUUUUCAUGUUUGGCUACAUGUACCAAACCUCUAUGUGUAUCAUUCUGCUCAUUGAUGAAUAUCCUUGUAUUUUACUGAUGCAUAC